GACGAACGCUGGCGGCGUGCUUAACACAUGCAAGUCGAACGCUGGAGCCCAGCUUGCUGGGUGGAUGAGUGGCGAACGGGUGAGUAACACGUGAGUAACCUGCCCCCUUCUUUGGGAUAACGCCCGGAAACGGGUGCUAAUACCGGAUAUUCACUGAUCUUCGCAUGGGGGUUGGUGGAAAGGUUUUUUCUGGUGGGGGAUGGGCUCGCGGCCUAUCGGCUUGUUGGUGGGGUGAUGGCCUACCAAGGCUUUGACGGGUAGCCGGCCUGAGAGGGUGACCGGUCACAUUGGGACUGAGAUACGGCCCAGACUCCUACGGGAGGCAGCAGUGGGGAAUAUUGCACAAUGGGCGAAAGCCUGAUGCAGCGACGCCGCGUGAGGGAUGACGGCCUUCGGGUUGUAAACCUCUUUCGCUCAUGGUCAAGCCGCAGCUUUGGGUUGUGGUGAGGGUAGUGGGUAAAGAAGCGCCGGCUAACUACGUGCCAGCAGCCGCGGUAAUACGUAGGGCGCGAGCGUUGUCCGGAAUUAUUGGGCGUAAAGGGCUUGUAGGCGGUUGGUCGCGUCUGCCGUGAAAUCCUCUGGCUUAACUGGGGGCGUGCGGUGGGUACGGGCUGACUUGAGUGCGGUAGGGGAGACUGGAACUCCUGGUGUAGCGGUGGGAAUGCGCAGAUAUCAGGAAGAAACACCGGUGGGCGAAGGCGGGGUCUCUGGGGCCGUUUCUGACGCUGAGGAGCGAAAGCU
rnacentral:rRNA from 1 species